GUAGGAUAUGUAGCAAACAUUCUUUUUCUGGGGCCUUAGGGGACACAUGCAAAGAACAACUGAUUUGUUGUUAUGUGUUGUGUUUUUAAUGGGCUGCUCCCAUUUGCGUUGAACAAGUGUAUUCAUGGAGGGUAUGUGUUGAAUCCCCCAUUGGGCUGCGAUCACCAGGUGGCUCGUCCAACUGAAUGUCAUUGCUCAGCCUCAAAGAGCUCAGUGUGUCUCCUCAAAGUCUGUCAAUCAAGUGUGCUGACUGAGAGCAUUU